AUUGAACGCUGGCGGAAUGCUUUACACAUGCAAGUCGAACGGCAGCACGGACUUCGGUCUGGUGGCGAGUGGCGAACGGGUGAGUAAUACAUCGGAACGUGCCCAGUCGUGGGGGAUAACGUAGCGAAAGCUACGCUAAUACCGCAUACGAUCUACGGAUGAAAGCGGGGGAUCGCAAGACCUCGCGCGAUUGGAGCGGCCGAUGGCAGAUUAGGUAGUUGGUGGGGUAAAGGCUCACCAAGCCGACGAUCUGUAGCUGGUCUGAGAGGACGACCAGCCACACUGGGACUGAGACACGGCCCAGACUCCUACGGGAGGCAGCAGUGGGGAAUUUUGGACAAUGGGCGCAAGCCUGAUCCAGCCAUUCCGCGUGCAGGAUGAAGGCCCUCGGGUUGUAAACUGCUUUUGUACAGAACGAAAAGGCUCUGGUUAAUACCUGGGGCUCAUGACGGUACUGUAAGAAUAAGCACCGGCUAACUACGUGCCAGCCGCCGCCGUAAGAC
rnacentral:rRNA from 1 species